rnacentral:rRNA from 1 species
UACGUAGGGGGCAAGUGUUGUCCGGAUUUAUUGGGCGUAAAGAGCGUGUAGGCGGCUUUACAGGUCCGUUGUGAAAACUCGAGGCUCAACCUCGAGACGCCGGUGGAAACCGUAAAGCUAGAGUCCGGAAGAGGAGAGUGGAAUUCCUGGUGUAGCGGUGAAAUGCGCAGAUAUCAGGAGGAACACCCGUGGCGAAGGCGGGUCUCUGGGCAGUAACUGACGCUGAGGCACGAAGGUCAGGGGAGCAAACGGG